CCUACGGGGUGCAGCAGUCGGGAAUAUUGCGCAAUGGAGGAAACUCUGACGCAGUGACGCCGCGUGCAGGAAGAAGGUUUUCGGAUUGUAAACUGCUUUAGACAGGGAAGAAAAAAGACAGUACCUGUAGAAUAAGCUCCGGCUAACUACGUGCCAGCAGCCGCGGUAAUACGGAGGGAGCAAGCGUUAUCCGGAUGUAUUGGGUGUAAAGGGUGCGUAGACGGAGAAGCAAGUUAGUUGUGAAAUCCCUCGGCUUAACUGAGGAACUGCAACUAAAACUACUUCCCUUGAGUACUGGAGAGGAAAGUGGAAUUCCUAGUGUAGCGGUGAAAUGCGUAGAUAUCACGAAGAACACCGAUGGCGAAGGCAGCCUGCUGGACUGUAACUGACGCUGAUGCUCGAAAGUGUGGGUAUCAAACAGGAUUAGAUACCCCUGUAGUC
rnacentral:rRNA from 1 species